rnacentral:rRNA from 1 species
GACGAACCGUGCGAACGUUGUUCGGAAUCACUGGGCUUAAAGGGCGCGUAGGCGGGCCCGCAAGUCAGGGGUGAAAUCCCACGGCUCAACCGUGGAAGUGCCUUUGAUACUGCGGGCCUCGAGGGAGGUAGGGGCGUGCGGAACUUCCGGUGGAGCGGUGAAAUGCGUAGAUAUCGGGAGGAACACCUGUGGCGAAAGCGGCUCACUGGACCACAACUGACGCUGAUGCGCGAAAGCGUGGGGA